UGCAAGUCGAACGGAAAGGCCUCUUCGGAGGUACUCGAGUGGCGAACGGGUGAGUAACACGUGGGCAAUCUGCCCUGCACUUCGGGAUAAGCCUGGGAAACUGGGUCUAAUACCGGAUAGGACCUUUAGACGCAUGUCUUUUGGUGGAAAGCUUUUGCGGUGUGGGAUGGGCCCGCGGCCUAUCAGCUUGUUGGUGGGGUGAUGGCCUACCAAGGCGACGACGGGUAGCCGGCCUGAGAGGGUGUCCGGCCACACUGGGACUGAGAUACGGCCCAGACUCCUACGGGAGGCAGCAGUGGGGAAUAUUGCACAAUGGGCGCAAGCCUGAUGCAGCGACGCCGCGUGGGGGAUGACGGCCUUCGGGUUGUAAACCUCUUUCACCAUCGACGAAGGUCCGGGUUUUCUCGGAUUGACGGUAGGUGGAGAAGAAGCACCGGCCAACUACGUGCCAGCAGCCGCGGUAAUACGUAGGGUGCGAGCGUUGUCCGGAAUUACUGGGCGUAAAGAGCUCGUAGGUGGUUUGUCGCGUUGUUCGUGAAAUCUCACGGCUUAACUGUGAGCGUGCGGGCGAUACGGGCAGACUAGAGUACUGCAGGGGAGACUGGAAUUCCUGGUGUAGCGGUGGAAUGCGCAGAUAUCAGGAGGAACACCGGUGGCGAAGGCGGGUCUCUGGGCAGUAACUGACGCUGAGGAGCGAAAGCGUGGGAGCGAACAGGAUUAGAUACCCUGGUAGUCCACGCCGUAAACGGUGGGUACUAGGUGUGGGUUUCCUUCCUUGGGAUCCGUGCCGUAGCUAACG
rnacentral:rRNA from 1 species